UGAUCGCCGCGGUAAUACGGGGGGUGCAAGCGUUAUUCGGAAUUAUUGGGCGUAAAGGGCGCGUAGGCGGUUUUGUCGGUCAGAUGUGAAAGCCCAGGGCUCAACCCUGGACGUGCAUUUGAAACAGCAAGACUUGAGUACGGGAGAGGAAAGCGGAAUUCCUGGUGUAGAGGUGAAAUUCGUAGAUAUCAGGAGGAACACCGAUGGCGAAGGCAGCUUUCUGGACCGAUACUGACGCUGGGGCGCGAAGGCGUGGGUAGCGAACAGGAUUAGAUACCCUGGUAGUCCACGCAGUAAACGAUGUUCACUCGGUGUAGCGGAUAUUAAAAUCUGCUGCGCCCAAGCUAACGCAUUAAGUGAACCGCCUGGGGAGUACGGUCGCAAGACUAAAACUCAAAGGAAUUGACGGGG
rnacentral:rRNA from 1 species